rnacentral:rRNA from 1 species
CCUACGGGAGGCAGCAGUGGGGAAUUUUGGACAAUGGGCGAAAGCCUGAUCCAGCCAUGCCGCGUGCAGGAUGAAGGCCUUCGGGUUGUAAACUGCUUUUGUACGGAACGAAAAGUCUCUUUCUAAUAAAGAGGGAUCAUGACGGUACCGUAAGAAUAAGCACCGGCUAACUACGUGCCAGCAGCCGCGGUAAUACGUAGGGUGCAAGCGUUAAUCGGAAUUACUGGGCGUAAAGCGUGCGCAGGCGGUUAUAUAAGACAGUUGUGAAAUCCCCGGACUCAACCUGGGAACUGCAUCUGUGACUGUAUAGCUAGAGUACGGUAGAGGGGGAUGGAAUUCCGCGUGUAGCAGUGAAAUGCGUAGAUAUGCGGAGGAACACCGAUGGCGAAGGCAAUCCCCUGGACCUGUACUGACGCUCAUGCACGAAAGCGUGGGGAGCAAACAGGAUUAGAUACCCUGGUAGUCCACGCCCUAAACGAUGUCAACUGGUUGUUGGGAAUUCACUUUCUCAGUAACGAAGCUAACGCAUGAAGUUGACCGCCUGGGGAGUACGGCCGCAAGGUUGAAACUUAAAGGAAAUUGGUAGCGUGAGACGUAGACGACGACGACGACGAGGGAGGAGG